rnacentral:misc_RNA from 1 species
AGGAGAGCAAAAAAGGCUUGCCGUGAGGAAGAGGGAAGUGAAGGCAGGUGCUCAGCCAGAAGUGAGGAAGGCGACUAUAACUAUCCGUUUGACUCAGAUUCAAACGGAUAGUUAUAGUCGCCUUUCUCACUUCUUGCUGAGCACGAUUCUACUGUUAGGAAGUCAUUUAGUUAUGGCACACUGGCUUAUGCAAACUGUGCUGGAGGAUCAUUUUACUCUGAUACGAG